rnacentral:misc_RNA from 1 species
UGACAUUUCAAUGUCGUCUUUGUCUUUGUUUUUGUUGCCCUUGCCUCAAUUACUCCAAUUAAACAAACCCAAAGCUCUGUGUAUCUCUUUAAACAAGAACUUUGCUUUGUCUUGAAUUCAUAUAAGCCUCCUACAUUUCCUUCACUGUCUUCUUGGGCACCGAAGAAAAUCAGGAAAUGGGUAGGGAAAGCAUAGAAGAAGGAGAUAUAUCAAGCCCUCUGCUUCUCAAAGAUAGAUCUCAGAUACGUGGAAGAGAUGAUGCCAAUGUUGGUGGAGAUGGGCAGAAUGGAGGUUCUUCAGCAACAACUGUGGUGGUUAUAAGCACCCUUGUUGCUGUCUCUGGUUCAUAUGUUUUUGGCUCAGCUGUAAGUCCUUUCUAGUGAAUUUUUGAGAUCAAAUUAACAUCAACACCAACUUCCUAAUUAAUGUCCGCCCACCCGUUGCCAAAAAUCCUUCCUUUGACGAUGAGCUAAUGUGAACUAACAAGGCUUAAUGGGGUACCCAAAUGGUAUAUUGUUAUUGAAUAACCAUGCUAUGGACAGGUAGGAUAUUCAUCACCCACUCAGGCUGGGAUAAUGGACGACCUGGGUCUUUCUGUGGCAGAGGUAAACAAUGAUGGAAAAAAGAAGUAACAGAAAGCUGGCAUUUUAAUUUUUCAUACAUUGCAUUUAAUUUCUUAUGCAUUCCUGCCUCUAUUAAAUUCACAUUUCACAGAUAUGCAAGUAUAUAUGUAGCACUAUGAAUGCUGUCUUUUUGCAUAAACUGUGAAAUAAAGAAGUCUUGAUAACUAGUUAUGAACCUUUCCUUUUCUAUGGAUUACCCUGCAUGUGAAGGGAAAAACAUUCUCUCGUUAGAAAUUUGAUACCUUUGAGGCAAAAUUACUUUGUGUUCUGUCUAAUUAGAUGAAAAUGCAAAUUUAUAAUUUCUUUUCCUUUUCAAUUUGAUUUUAUUAUGCAGUACUCACUAUUUGGU